rnacentral:rRNA from 1 species
CCUACGGGAGGCUGCAGUAGGGAAUCUUCCACAAUGGGCGAAAGCCUGAUGGAGCAACGCCGCGUGGGUGAAGAAGGUCUUCGGAGCGUAAAACUGUGUUGUUAGAGAAGAAAGUGCGGGAGAGUAACUGUUCACGUUUCGACGGUAUCUAACCGGACAGCCUCGGCUAACUACGUGCCAGCCGCCGCGGUAAUACGUAGGUGGCAAGCGUUAUCCGGAUUUAUUGGGCGUAAAGGGAGCGCAGGGGGUCGGUUAAGUCUGAUGUGAAAGCCUUCGGCUUAACCGGAGUAGUGCAUUGGAAACUGGGAGGCUUGAGUGUAGAAGAGGUGGGCGGAA